GCAAGUCGAACGAGAAAUCCAUCUUCGGAUGGAGAGUACAGUGGCAGACGGGUGAGUAACGCGUGGGCGACCUACCUUCGAGUGGGGGAUAACUCGCCGAAAGGCCAGCUAAUACCGCAUGACAUUCGCACUACUAAAAAGGCGAAUUAAAGUUGGGGAUUCACUUCGGUGGACCUGAUGCUUGAAGAGGGGCUUGCGUCUGAUUAGCUAGUUGGUGGGGUAAUGGCCUACCAAGGCAACGAUCAGUAGCCGACCUGAGAGGGUGAUC
rnacentral:rRNA from 1 species